CCUCCCCCCCCCCCCCCCCCCCCGCGUAAGUAGUGGCAAGCGUUGUCCGGAUUUAUUGGGCGUAAAGCRMGCGMAGKCGGUKUAUUAAGUCUKAUGUGRAAGCCCKCSGCCWAMGGUGGGAUWGRWAACUGGGRGAMKUSAGURCASAAGAKRACAGUGGAAYUCCAUGUGUAGCGGUGAAAUGCGUAGAUAUAUGGARGAACACCAGUGGCGAAGGCGGCUSUCUGGUCUGUAACUGACGCUGAGGCUCGAAAGCAUGGGGAGCAAACAGGAUUAGAUACCCUGGUAGUCCACGCCGUAAACGAUGAGUGCUAAGUGUUGGAGGGUUUCCGCCCUUCAGUGCUGCAGCUAACGCAUUAAGCACUCCGCCUGGGGAGUACGACCGCAAGGUUGAAACUCAAAGGAAUUGACGGGGGCCCGCACAAGCGGUGGAGCAUGUGGUUUAAUUCGAAGCAACGCGAAGAACCUUACCAGGUCUUGACAUCCUUUGAMCAYUYUAGAGAUARARCUUCCCCUUCGGGGRCAAAGWGACAGGUGGUGCAUGGUUGUCGUCAGCUCGUGUCGUGAGAUGUUGGGUUAAGUCCCGCAACGAGCGCAACCCUUAUURUUAGUUGCCAUCAUUCAGUUGGGCACUCUAGYRAGACUGCCGGUGACAAACCGGAGGAAGGUGGGGAUGACGUCAAAUCAUCAUGCCCCUUAUGACCUGGGCUACACACGUGCUACAAUGGRARGUACAACGAGUUGCGAAGUCGCGAGGSUAAGCUAAUCUCUUAAAGCYWCUCUCAGUUCGGAUUGCAGGCUGCAACUCGCCUGCAUGAAGYCGGAAUCGCUAGUAAUCGCGGWCUCCAGCAGCCGCGGUAAUACGUUCCCGGGCCUUGUACACACCGCCCCCGUCCACCCCGGAAAGUUUGUAACACCCAAGUCGGUGAGGUAACCUUUUUGGAACCAGCCGCCUAAAGUGGGACAGAUGAUUGGGGUGAAUCUAAGCG
rnacentral:rRNA from 1 species